CAGCCCCACAGCCUCAGA
rnacentral:miRNA from 1 species